UACGGAGGUGGCUAGCGUUGCUCGGAUUCAUUGGGUGUAAAGGGCAAGUAGGCGGCUUUGUAAGUCAGAUGUGAAAUCCCCGGGCUCAACCUGGGUCACGCAUCUGAUACUGCUAAGCUUGAGGACGGAAGAGGAGAGCGGAAUACCCGGUGUAAGGGUGAAAUCUGUAGAUAUCGGGUAGAACACCAGUGGCGAAGGCGGCUCUCUGGUCCGACCCUGACGCUGAGAGGCGAAAGCCGGGGGAGCAAACAGG
rnacentral:rRNA from 1 species